AUUGAACGCUGGCGGCAUGCUUUACACAUGCAAGUCGAACGGUAACAGGGAGCUUGCUCCGCUGACGAGUGGCGAACGGGUGAGUAAUGCGUCGGAACGUGCCGAGUAGUGGGGGAUAACGCAGCGAAAGGUGUGCUAAUACCGCAUACGAACUGAGGUUGAAAGUGGGAGACCUUCGGGCCUCACGCUAUUCGAUCGGCCGACGUCUGAUUAGCUAGUUGGUGAGGUAAAGGCUCACCAAGGCGACGAUCAGUAGCGGGUCUGAGAGGAUGAUCCGCCACACUGGGACUGAGACACGGCCCAGACUCCUACGGGAGGCAGCAGUGGGGAAUUUUGGACAAUGGGCGCAAGCCUGAUCCAGCCAUGCCGCGUGUCUGAAGAAGGCCUUCGGGUUGUAAAGGACUUUUGUCCGGGAGCAAAUGCUGGUGGCUAACAUCCACCGGAGCUGAGAGUACCGGAAGAAUAAGCACCGGCUAACUACGUGCCAGCCGCCGCUGUAACAC
rnacentral:rRNA from 1 species